GGGACAAGCCCUGGAAACGGGGUCUAAUACCGGAUAUCACCUUCACGGGCAUCUGUGAGGGUCGAAAGCUCCGGCGGUGAAGGAUGAGCCCGCGGCCUAUCAGCUUGUUGGUGAGGUAAUGGCUCACCAAGGCGACGACGGGUAGCCGGCCUGAGAGGGCGACCGGCCACACUGGGACUGAGACACGGCCCAGACUCCUACGGGAGGCAGCAGUGGGGAAUAUUGCACAAUGGGCGGAAGCCUGAUGCAGCGACGCCGCGUGAGGGAUGACGGCCUUCGGGUUGUAAACCUCUUUCAGCAGGGAAGAAGCGAAAGUGACGGUACCUGCAGAAGAAGCGCCGGCUAACUACGUGCCAGCAGCCGCGGUAAUACGUAGGGCGCAAGCGUUGUCCGGAAUUAUUGGGCGUAAAGAGCUCGUAGGCGGCUUGUCACGUCGGGUGUGAAAGCCCGGGGCUUAACCCCGGGUCUGCAUUCGAUACGGGCUAGCUAGAGUGUGGUAGGGGAGAUCGGAAUUCCUGGUGUAGCGGUGAAAUGCGCAGAUAUCAGGAGGAACACCGGUGGCGAAGGCGGAUCUCUGGGCCAUUACUGACGCUGAGGAGCGAAAGCGUGGGGAGCGAACAGGAUUAGAUACCCUGGUAGUCCACGCCGUAAACGGUGGGAACUAGGUGUUGGCGACAUUCCACGUCGUCGGUGCCGCAGCUAACGCAUUAAGUUCCCCGCCUG
rnacentral:rRNA from 1 species